rnacentral:rRNA from 1 species
AAGUAUAUGCAUAUUUUAUAUGUAGAAACUGCGAACGGCUCAUUAAAACAGUUAUAAUCUACUUGACAUUUUUUCUAUAAGGAUAACUACGGAAAAGCUGUAGCUAAUACUUGCUUUAGCACUCUUGAUUAAGUUCUUGAGUGUGUACUUGUUAAGCCUUUUAAGAGAAAAGUUAUUAACUUAAGGAAUUAUAACAAAGAAGUAACACGUAAAUGGAUUUUCCAUUUUUUAGUGUGUAUCAAUCGAGUUUCUGACCUAUCAGCUUUUGAUGUUAGGGUAUUGGCCUAACAUGGCUAUGACGGGUAACGGGGAAUUAGAGUUCGAUUCCGGAGAGGGAGCCUGAGAAAUAGCUACCACAUCUAAGGAAGGCAGCAGGCGCGUAAAUUACCCAAUUCUAAAGAAGAGAGGUAGUGACAAGAAAUAACAAUACAAGGCCAAUCUGGCUUUGUAAUUGGAAUGAUGGGAAUUUAAAACCUUCCCAAAACUCAAUUGGAGGGCAAGUCUGGUGCCAGCAGCCGCGGUAAUUCCAGCUCCAAUAGCGUAUAUUAAAAUUGUUGCAGUUAAAACGCUCGUAGUUGAAUUUCAAAGAAUCGAUAUUUUAAGUAACGCUUUGUAGAUUAAUCCACAUAACUGAUACUACGUAUCGACUUUGUGCGCAUUUUUCUACUUAUGUGUUCUUUUAAUUAAAAUGAUUCUUUUUAAGAUCUUUCUUUUUUGCUUCGGCAUUUUAGGAGAUCUUGUUACUUUGAGUAAAUUAGAGUGUUCAAAGCAAACAGAUUAUAGCAUCUUUAUGCGUUUGAAUACUACAGCAUGGAAUAACAAAAUUGAACAAGUCAGAAUUUUGUUCUUUUUUCUUAUUUUGGCUUAGUUACGAUUAAUAGGAGUAGCUUGGGGGCAUUUGUAUUCAGAUGUCAGAGGUGAAAUUCUUAGAUUUUCUGGAGACAAACAACUGCGAAAGCAUUUGCCUAAAAUACUUCCAUUAAUCAAGAACGAAAGUUAAGGGAGUGAAGACGAUCAGAUACCGUCGUAAUCUUAACCAUAAACUAUGCCGACUAGGCUUUGGAUGAAAGAUUUUAAAAUAAGAGUUUUUUCUCUGAGGAGUUAAAACUCUUAGAUUGCUUCCUUCAGUGCCUUAUGAGAAAUCAAAGUCUUUGGGUUCUGGGGCGAGUAUUCGCGCAAGCGAGAAAGUUAAAAGAAUUGACGGAAGGGCACCACCAGGCGUGGAGCUUGCGGCUUAAUUUGACUCAACACGGGAAAACUCACUAGUUUAAGACAAGAGUAGGAUUGACAGAUUAAUAGCUCUUUCUUGAUUUCUUGGAUGGUGAUGCAUGGCCGUUUUUAGUUCGUGAAUAUGAUUUGUCUGGUUAAUUCCGAUAACGAACGAGAUCUUAACCUGCUAAUUAGCGGCAAAUACGAUAUAUUCUUAUGUGGAAUUGAAUAUAGUUGAUUUGCUUAUUUUGAAGAAAAUAUUGGGAUACGUAAAUGUAUCCCUUUCCCUUUUCUACUUAAUUUGCUUAUCAUACUAUUUCUUUUUUGCGUAAGAAUGUAUUUGCUUGAUUGUAAAGCUUCUUAGAGGAACGAUGUGUGUCUAACACAAG